rnacentral:rRNA from 1 species
GACAGAGGAUGCAAGCGUUAUCCGGAAUGAUUGGGCGUAAAGCGUCUGUAGGUGGCUUUUUAAGUCCGCCGUCAAAUCCCAGGGCUCAACCCUGGACAGGCGGUGGAAACUACCAAGCUGGAGUACGGUAGGGGGCAGAGGGAAUUUCCGGUGGAGCGGUGAAUGACGUAGAUAUCAAGAGGAACACCUGAGGUGAAGACGGGUUGCUGGGCUGAUACUGACGCUGAGGCGCGAAAGCUAGGGUAGCAAACGGG